AUUGAACGCUGGCGGCAGGCCUAACACAUGCAAGUCGACCGAGUGGCGGACGGGUGAGUAAUGUCUGGGAAACUUCCUGAUGGAGAGGGAUAACUACUGGAAACGUUGCUAAUACCGCAUAUCAUCCAAUGUGCCCCGAUGGGAUUUGCUUGUUGGGUUGGUAACGGCUCACCAAGGCGACGCUCCCUCGCUGGUUUGAGAGGAUGACCAGCCACACUGGAACUGAGACACGGUCCAGACUCCUACGGUAGGCAGCAGGGGGGAAUAUUGCACAAUGGGCGAAAGCCUGAUGCAGCCAUGCGGCGUGUAUGGAGAAGGCCGUCGGGUUGUAAAGUACUUUCAGUGGGGAGGCGGUACCCGCAGAAGAAGCACCGGCUAACUCCGUGCCAGCAGCCGCGGUAAUAC
rnacentral:rRNA from 1 species